UACGUAGGGGCCUAGCGUUGUCCGGAUUUAUUGGGCGUAAAGAGCUCGUAGGCGGUUUGGUGAGUCGGGUGUGAAAUCUCCACGCUCAACGUGGAGGGGCCACCCGAUACUGCCAUGACUAGAGUCCGGUAGGGGAGUGUGGAAUUCCCGGUGUAGCGGUGAAAUGCGCAGAUAUCGGGAGGAACACCAGUAGCGAAGGCGAGUCCCUGGACAACACCUGACACUGAGGCACGAAAGCUAGGGGAGCAAACAGG
rnacentral:rRNA from 1 species